rnacentral:tRNA from 1 species
GGGCUGUUAGCUUAGUUGGUAGAGCAACUGACUCUUAAUCAGUAGGUCAAGGGUUCGAACCCCUUACAGCCCA